rfam:Paenibacillus popilliae ATCC 14706 DNA, contig: contig160.
UGAACCUUUAAAUCAGUCCCGAGAGGCUGGCAAGGUAUCGUUCGUAACGAGAAGAUUCGUGAUGCGAGAGAACGGGGGAGUGUGUCUGCCUGUGAGCAGAGUACUCUUCAUCAUCAUGUAUCUUACUGGAUGUCGCAGCCUUCUACGCUGUCAUCGAGCAAUGAACUCCUUGCCUGAGGGCAAGGAGUUUUUUUGU